GUUUCUCUUCACCUUCAAGAAGAGUGUCUGGAUUGGUCUGACUGACAGAGAGACAGAGAAGACCUGGAAAUGGGUGGAUGGAACACCACUGACCACAGAGUACUGGAAUGACAAACAGCCUGAUAAUGCAGGUCCUACUGGGCAGGAGGACUGUGCUGAGAUACAGGAAGAUCAGAGUCAUCAAAGGCAUGGAAUACUUGUCAUGUGACAGCAAACUCAACUGGAUUUGUGAGAAAGUGUUUUAAAUCACCAUGACAACAUGAUGUAACACAUACAGCAACCUACAGUUCUCUCUCUCUGUAUCUCAAACCAACUCACAUGUUGUAUUUCUUUGUAUUAGCAUAUUAAUAAAAGCCUUACUUAUUUCCUGACAUAA